rnacentral:rRNA from 1 species
UACGGAGGGUGCGAGCGUUGUCCGGAAUCACUGGGCGUAAAGGGCGCGUAGGCGGCCUGAUAAGUAGGGGGCGAAAUCCUGCGGCUUAACCGCAGGGCUGCCUUCUAAACUGUCGGGCUAGAGCACGGUAGAGGCAGAUGGAAUUCCCGGUGUAGCGGUGGAAUGCGUAGAGAUCGGGAAGAACAUCAGUGGCGAAGGCGGUCUGCUGGGCCGUGCUGACGCUGAGGCGCGACAGCGUGGGGAGCAAACAGG